GAUGAACGCUGGCGGCGUGCUUAACACGUGCAAGUCGAGCGAGUGAGUUCUUCGGAACGAUCUAGCGGCGGACGGGUGAGUAACACGUGGGCAACCUGCCUCAUAGAGGGGAAUAGCCUCCCGAAAGGGAGAUUAAUGCCGCAUAAAAUUAUCGAGUGGCAUCACAUGAUAAUCAAAGGAGUAAUCCGCUAUGAGAUGGGCCCGCGGCGCAUUAGCUAGUUGGUGAGGUAACGGCUCACCAAGGCGACGAUGCGUAGCCGACCUGAGAGGGUGAUCGGCCACAUUGGGACUGAGACACGGCCCAGACUCCUACGGGAGGCAGCAGGGGGGAAUAUUGCACAAUGGGGGAAACCCUGAUGCAGCAACGCCGCGUGAGUGAUGAAGGUCUUCGGAUUGUAAAGCUCUGUCUUUGGGGACGAUAAUGACGGUACCCAGGGAGGAAGCCACGGCUAACUACGUGCCAGCAGCCGCGAGUAA
rnacentral:rRNA from 1 species